CAGUCGCCGCGGGAAUACGGAGGGUGCAAGCGUUAUCCGGAUUUAUUGGGUUUAAAGGGUCCGUAGGCGGACUUAUAAGUCAGUGGUGAAAGCCUGUCGCUUAACGAUAGAACUGCCAUUGAUACUGUAAGUCUUGAGUAUAUUUGAGGUAGCUGGAAUAAGUAGUGUAGCGGUGAAAUGCAUAGAUAUUACUUAGAACACCAAUUGCGAAGGCAGGUUACCAAGAUAUAACUGACGCUGAGGGACGAAAGCGUGGGUAGCGAACAGGAUUAGAUACCCCCGUAGUCCCUGUCUCUUAUAC
rnacentral:rRNA from 1 species